GCCGGGGAGGCGGAGCUGGCAGACGCGCUGGACUCAAAAUCCAAUGAUCGCAAGAUUGUGCGGUUUCGAGUCCCUCGGCGGGCA
rnacentral:tRNA from 1 species